rnacentral:lncRNA from 1 species
UAGAUAAUGACUUCAUCUUCUUCCCUCAGUUUCUUCCAUUUCUUUGUAAAUUGAGUACUACUGCAUUGCAGUUACUGUUUCAUUCUUUUACUGUACAAAAACCCACACAUUUCAAUAAGCCCCUCCAGAUUGCGCUAAAGUAUGUACAGUCAUACAAAAAAGUGGGAGAAUGUCUCCUCCAAUCCAGUGUCACACAAUACAUACUCUUUGGACACCUGAAUCCCCCAUCGGGACAAUUUGUUGAAGUGCUAACCAAGUUAUGAAUUGAUGCCUCGGGAUGAUACCAACCCCUAUUGUGAUACUCUUCUAUGUAACUUUGGGGCACUGAGGGAUAAAGGACUGGUAGGCUAGUUUGAUACUGGAUUUUUCCUUCUUACAAAAACUAUUCAGUUCUGCCUGCACAUUUCCAUUAGGAAAUCAGUCCUUUGACACCAAUAAUCUUCCUUACAAUCCAACUAGCUCUCUUGGGACUCAAAAUAGUGUCAAUGUUGUUGUUCUUGAUGUAAUAUGCAUGUACCCACUGUAUACAUGAUGUGUCCUUCUUCGUAGCAAUAACCCAUAGCAAUUUACAUAUCGCUUCUCUAUUUCAUCGGUAGACAUCAAUGAUAUUCAACCCUCCUGCCAAUCUAGGUAGGCACAACUUUUCCCAGUUGAAGUAUCAACACUCCCAAUCCAUAAGAAUGUUCUGCAUACUCUAGUAAUUAAUUCAGUAAUCUUCUUAGGUAGUAAAAAUACUUGUGCCCUGUAUGUCUGCAUCUCGAAUAGAACACUUUUUAUAUGCUGCAAUCUGUCACUAUAUAAGAAGAGCUUCGUGGUCCAACAUUUUGUUCUUGCUACCAUCUUCUCAAUCAAAGGCAUACAUUGCUGGAUACGCUACCAUCUUCUCAAUCAAAGGCAUACAUUGCUGGAUACUUAGUUUCUUAGAAGAUAAAGGAACCCCUAAAUAGCGAAAUGACAUUUUCCCUUCCAUGAACUGCAUAUCAGCCAAGAUUUGAUCUUUAAUAACUUGAGUGACACCUGCUAGGUAGAUAGAACUCUUACCCAAGUUGGCAUGAAGUGCAGACACUUGAGAAAAAUGAUUAAAGGAUUGUAGCAUAAGUUGAAUAGAAGUAUGGUCAGCUCUACAACAAAACAUACAUGUACCAGAUGCAUUUUCUCACAUCGAGGAUGGUAAUUGAAAUUAGGAACGUACCUUAAUUGUUUGAGAGUUCUGUUCAGAUAUUUCAUGUCAAGCACAAACAGGUAAGUUGUUACAAUUGUAUUAUAUUUGCUAUAAUAUAACUAAAAAUUACACAAAUACACAACUUAUGUUUCCAAUAUUACAAAAAAUUUCAACUCCCUAAACAUAUUACAAAAAUUCCAACAUAUACACAAAAUGUUAUGUAUAUGUCGGUUAUGUUAUGUAUAUUAAGUAAUUAAAAAAGUGGA